AAACAUCGCCUCUUGAAAAACAUAAGAGGUCCAGCCUGCCCAGUGACACUGUUCAACGGCCGCGGUACCCUAACCGUGCGAAGGUAGCGUAAUCACUUGUCCUUUAAAUGGGGACUAGUAUGAAUGGCACCACGAGGGUUAUACUGUCUCCCCUUUCUAAUCAAUGAAACUAAUCUCCCCGUGAAGAAGCGGGGAUAUUUCUAUAAGACGAGAAGACCCUAUGGAGCUUUAAACGAAACAACAACUGCUUUAAUCUUAACAAUUUCAGAAAAUUAACCCGUACUUUAGCCCAAUGAUUGUUAGUUUUUGGUUGGGGUGACCGCGGAGUAGAAAAUAACCUCCACAUUGAAAGGGGGGGCACCCCCCUUAGCAAAAAACCACAGCUUUAUGCAUCAAUAAAUUGACAUUAAUUGACCCAAUAUUUUGAUCAACGAAACAAGUUACCCUAGGGAUAACAGCGCAAUCCGCUUCAAGAGCCCUUAUCGACAAGCGGGUUUACGACCUCGAUGUUGGAUCAGGGUAUCCCAGUGGUGCAGCCGCUACUAACGGUUCGUUUGUUCAACGAUUAAAACCCUA
rnacentral:rRNA from 1 species